GCUANANAUGCAGCCGAGCGGUAGAGAUUCUUCGGAAUCUUGAGAGCGGCGUACGGGUGCGGAACACGUGUGCAACCUGCCUUUAUCAGGGAGAUAGCCUUUCGAAAGGAAGAUUAAUAUCCCAUAAUAUAUUAAGUGGCAUCACUUGAUAUUGAAAACUACGGUGGAUAGAGAUGGGCACGCGCAAGAUUAGAUAGUUGGUGAGGUAACGGCUCACCAAGUCUACGAUCUUUAGGGGGCCUGAGAGGGUGAUCCCCCACACUGGUACUGAGACACGGACCAGACUCCUACGGGAGGCAGCAGUGAGGAAUAUUGGACAAUGGGUGAAAGCCUGAUCCAGCCAUCCCGCGUGAAGGACGACGGCCCUAUGGGUUGUAAACUUCUUUUGUAUAGGGAUAAACCUAGAUACGUGUAUCUAGCUGAAGGUACUAUACGAAUAAGCACCGGCUAACUCCGUGCCAGCAGCCGCGGUAAUACGGAGGGUGCAAGCGUUAUCCGGAUUUAUUGGGUUUAAAGGGUCCGUAGGCGGAUCUGUAAGUCAGUGGUGAAAUCUCACAGCUUAACUGUGAAACUGCCAUUGAUACUGCAGGUCUUGAGUGUUGUUGAAGUAGCUGGAAUAAGUAGUGUAGCGGUAAAUNNCGUAGAA
rnacentral:rRNA from 1 species